rnacentral:rRNA from 1 species
GACGAACGCUGGCGGCGUGCCUAAUACAUGCAAGUAGGACGCAGUUGCGAACGGGUGAGUAAAGCGUAGGUAACUGCCCCUUCGAGGGGGGUAACUAUUGGAAACGAUAGCUAAUACCGCAUACUAGUAGAAGGACCUGCGUUGUAUUAGCUAGUAGGUAGGGUAAUGGCCUACCUAGGAGACGAUACAUAGCCGACCUGGGGGGGGGAUCGGCCACACUUGGACUGGGACACGGCCCAGACUCCGUCGGGAGGCAGGAGUAGGGAAACUUCGGCAAAUGGGGGAACCCUGAACAGGCAACGGCGCGUUGGUGAAGAAGGGUUUCGGAUCGGAAAACUCUGUUGUUUAGGAAGCUUUACUUUCCCAGAAAGGGACGGCUAACUACGUGCCAGCAGCCGCGGUAAUUC